rnacentral:rRNA from 1 species
CGGCAUGCCUUACACAUGCAAGUCGAACGGCAGCACGGGAGCAAUCCUGGUGGCGAGUGGCGAACGGGUGAGUAAUAUAUCGGAACGUGCCCGGUCGUGGGGGAUAACGUAGCGAAAGCUACGCUAAUACCGCAUACGAUCUACGGAUGAAAGCGGGGGAUCGCAAGACCUCGCGCGAUUGGAGCGGCCGAUAUCAGAUUAGGUAGUUGGUGAGGUAAAGGCUCACCAAGCCGACGAUCUGUAGCUGGUCUGANAGGACGACCAGCCACACUGGGACUGAGACACGGCCCAGACUCCUACGGGAGGCAGCAGUGGGGAAUUUUGGACAAUGGGCGCAAGCCUGAUCCAGCAAUGCCGCGUGCAGGAUGAAGGCCUUCGGGUUGUAAACUGCUUUGUACGGAACGAAACGGUGAGCUCUAAUACAGUUUGCUAAUGACGGUACCGUAAGAAUAAGCACCGGCUAACUACGUG